rnacentral:rRNA from 1 species
UACGUAGGGAGCAAGCGUUGUCCGGAAUCAUUGGGCGUAAAGCGCGCGUAGGUGGCUUCGUAAGUCCGUUGUGAAAGUCAAAGGCUCAACCUUUGAAAGCCGAUGGAUACUGCGGAGCUAGAGUACGGAAGAGGCGAGUGGAAUUCCUGGUGUAGCGGUGAAAUGCGCAGAUAUCAGGAAGAACACCCGUGGCGAAGGCGGCUUUCUGGGACGGUACUGACGCUGAGACGCGAAAGCGUGGGGAGCGAACAGG